rnacentral:rRNA from 1 species
CCUACGGGUGGCUGCAGUUGGGUAUAUUGGACAAUGGGAGCAAUCCUGAUCCAGCAAUCCCGCGUGAGUGAUGAAGGCCUUCGGGUCGUAAAGCUCUUUAAGGGGGGAAGAAGGGAAACUUGACGGUACCCCCAGAAUAAGCACCGGCUAACUCUGUGCCAGCAGCCGCGGUAAUACAGAGGGUGCAAGCGUUGUUCGGAAUCAUUGGGCGUAAAGCGCGUGUAGGUGGCUUUCUAAGUCUGGUGUGAAAUCCCGGGGCUCAACCCCGGAAGUGCACUGGAUACUGGAAAGCUAGAGGGCGAGAGAGGAGAUUGGAAUUCAUGGUGUAGGGGUGAAAUCCGUAGAUAUCAUGAGGAACAUCUGUGGCGAAGGCGAAUCUCUGGCUCGUUUCUGACACUGAGACGCGAAAGCGUGGGGAGCAAACAGGAUUAGAUACCCGAGUAGUC